GCAGUCGACGAAGUAGCAAUACUUAGUGGCAGACGGGUGAGUAACAUGUGGGUAUCUACCCUUUGGCCUGGAAUAACACGAGGAAACUUGUGCUAAUACCGGAUAAGUCUUUACGGAGAAAGCUUUAUGCACCAUUGGAUGAGCCCGCACUUGAUUAGUUUGUUGGUAGGGUAAUGGCCUACCAAGACUAUGAUCAAUAGCUGAUUUGAGAGGAUGAUCAGCCACAUUGGGACUGAGACACGGCCCAAACUCCUACGGGAGGCAGCAGUGGGGAAUCUUGCACAAUGGAGGAAACUCUGAUGCAGCGAUGCCGCGUGAGUGAAGAAGGCCUUUGGGUUGUAAAGCUCUUUCGUCGGGGAAGAAAAUGACUGUACCCGAAUAAGAAGGUCCGGCUAACUUCGUGCCAGCAGCCGCGGUAAUACGAAGGGACCUAGCGUAGUUCGGAAUUACUGGGCUUAAAGAGUUCGUAGGUGGUUGAAAAAGUUGGUGGUGAAAUCCCAGAGCUUAACUCUGGAACUGCCAUCAAAACUUUUCAGCUAGAGUAUGAUAGAGGAAAGCAGAAUUUCUAGUGUAGAGGUGAA
rnacentral:rRNA from 1 species